rnacentral:rRNA from 1 species
AACGAACGCUGGCGGCAGGCCUAACACAUGCAAGUCGAACGAACUCUUCGGACUUAUUGGCGGACGGGGGAGUACCAAGUGGGAACUUGCCCUUAGGUACGGUAUCCCUCACGUUAACAUGACCUAAUAACGCUUGUGCUCAUAGGGGGUAAGAGCUCUUGCCUCUUGAUCGGCCCUCGUAUGAUUAGCCAGUUGGUGAGGUACAGGCUCCCUAUGGCGAUGAUCAGUAGCUGGUCUGAGAGGAUGAUCAGCGGCAUUGGGACUGGGACACGGCCCAAACUCCUGCGAGAGGCAGCAGUGGGGAAACUUGCGCAGUGGGCGAAAGCCUGACGCAGCCAUGCCGCGUGAAUGAUGAAGGUCUUAGGAUUGUAAAAUUCUUUCGCCGGGGACGGUAAUGACGGUACCCGUAGAAGAAGCCCGGGCUAACUUCGU